GAUGAAGAACGUAGCGAAAUGCGAUACUUGGUGUGAAUUGCAGAAUCCCGUGAACCAUCGAGUCUUUGAACGCAAGUUGCGCCCGAAGCCAUCAGGUUGAGGGCACGUCUGCCUGGGCGUCACAUAUCGUUGCCCAAUGCCUAUUGCAGUGCAAUAGGAAUUUCUAGGGCGAAUGAUGGCUUCCCGUGAGCGUUGUUGCCUCGCGGUUGGUUGAAAAUCGAGUCCUUGGUAGGGUGUGCCAUGGUAGAUGGUGGUCGAGUUAGAACGAUACCGAUCAUGUGCAUGCUCCCCAGAAUAUGGCCUCUAUGACCCACACGCGUCUUUUGACGCUCAUGACGAGACCUCAGGUCAGGCGGGGCUACCCGCUGAAUUUAAGCAUAUCAAUAAGCGGAGGA
rnacentral:misc_RNA from 1 species